UAAGCGACUAAGCGUACACGGUGGAUGCCCUGGCAGUCAGAGGCGAUGAAGGACGUGCUAAUCUGCGAUAAGCGUCGGUGAGGUGAUAUGAACCGUUAUAACCGGCGAUUUCCGAAUGGGGAAACCCAGUGUGAUUCGUCACACUAUCAUUAACUGAAUCCAUAGGUUAAUGAGGCGAACCGGGGGAACUGAAACAUCUAAGUACCCCGAGGAAAAGAAAUCAACCGAGAUUCCCCCAGUAGCGGCGAGCGAACGGGGAGGAGCCCAGAGCCUGAAUCAGUGUGUGUGUUAGUGGAAGCGUCUGGAAAGGCGUGCGAUACAGGGUGACAGCCCCGUACACAAAAAUGCACAUAUUGUGAGCUCGAUGAGUAGGGCGGGACACGUGGUAUCCUGUCUGAAUAUGGGGGGACCAUCCUCCAAGGCUAAAUACUCCUGACUGACCGAUAGUGAACCAGUACCGUGAGGGAAAGGCGAAAAGAACCCCGGCGAGGGGAGUGAAAAAGAACCUGAAACCGUGUACGUACAAGCAGUGGGAGCCUCUUAAUGGGGUGACUGCGUACCUUUUGUAUAAUGGGUCAGCGACUUAUAUUCUGUAGCAAGGUUAACCGAAUAGGGGAGCCGAAGGGAAACCGAGUCUUAACUGGGCGUUAAGUUGCAGGGCAUAGACCCGAAACCCGGUGAUCUAGCCAUGGGCAGGUUGAAGGUUGGGUAACACUAACUGGAGGACCGAACCGACUAAUGUUGAAAAAUUAGCGGAUGACUUGUGGCUGGGGGUGAAAGGCCAAUCAAACCGGGAGAUAGCUGGUUCUCCCCGAAAGCUAUUUAGGUAGCGCCUCGUGAAUUCAUCUCCGGGGGUAGAGCACUGUUUCGGCAAGGGGGUCAUCCCGACUUACCAACCCGAUGCAAACUGCGAAUACCGGAGAAUGUUAUCACGGGAGACACACGGCGGGUGCUAACGUCCGUCGUGAAGAGGGAAACAACCCAGACCGCCAGCUAAGGUCCCAAAGUCAUGGUUAAGUGGGAAACGAUGUGGGAAGGCCCAGACAGCCAGGAUGUUGGCUUAGAAGCAGCCAUCAUUUAAAGAAAGCGUAAUAGCUCACUGGUCGAGUCGGCCUGCGCGGAAGAUGUAACGGGGCUAAACCAUGCACCGAAGCUGCGGCAGCGACACUAUGUGUUGUUGGGUAGGGGAGCGUUCUGUAAGCCUGUGAAGGUGGCCUGUGAGGGUUGCUGGAGGUAUCAGAAGUGCGAAUGCUGACAUAAGUAACGAUAAAGCGGGUGAAAAGCCCGCUCGCCGGAAGACCAAGGGUUCCUGUCCAACGUUAAUCGGGGCAGGGUGAGUCGACCCCUAAGGCGAGGCCGAAAGGCGUAGUCGAUGGGAAACAGGUUAAUAUUCCUGUACUUGGUGUUACUGCGAAGGGGGACGGAGAAGGCUAUGUUGGCCGGGCGACGGACGUCCCGGUUUAAGCGUGUAGGCUGGUUUUCCAGGCAAAUCCGGAAAACCAAGGCUGAGGCGUGAUGACGAGGCACUACGGUGCUGAAGGACAAAUGCCCUGCUUCCAGGAAAAGCCUCUGAGCAUCAGGUAACAUCAAAUCGUACCCCAAACCGACACAGGUGGUCAGGUAGAGAAUACCAAGGCGCUUGAGAGAACUCGGGUGAAGGAACUAGGCAAAAUGGUGCCGUAACUUCGGGAGAAGGCACGCUGAUAUGUAGGUGAAGCGACUUGCUCGUGGAGCUGAAAUCAGUCGAAGAUACCAGCUGGCUGCAACUGUUUAUUAAAAACACAGCACUGUGCAAACACGAAAGUGGACGUAUACGGUGUGACGCCUGCCCGGUGCCGGAAGGUUAAUUGAUGGGGUUAGCGGCAACGCGAAGCUCUUGAUCGAAGCCCCGGUAAACGGCGGCCGUAACUAUAACGGUCCUAAGGUAGCGAAAUUCCUUGUCGGGUAAGUUCCGACCUGCACGAAUGGCGUAAUGAUGGCCAGGCUGUCUCCACCCGAGACUCAGUGAAAUUGAACUCGCUGUGAAGAUGCAGUGUACCCGCGGCAAGACGGAAAGACCCCGUGAACCUUUACUAUAGCUUGACACUGAACAUUGAGCCUUGAUGUGUAGGAUAGGUGGGAGGCUUUGAAGUGUGGACGCCAGUCUGCAUGGAGCCGACCUUGAAAUACCACCCUUUAAUGUUUGAUGUUCUAACGUUGGCCCGUAAUCCGGGUUGCGGACAGUGUCUGGUGGGUAGUUUGACUGGGGCGGUCUCCUCCUAAAGAGUAACGGAGGAGCACGAAGGUUGGCUAAUCCUGGUCGGACAUCAGGAGGUUAGUGCAAUGGCAUAAGCCAGCUUGACUGCGAGCGUGACGGCGCGAGCAGGUGCGAAAGCAGGUCAUAGUGAUCCGGUGGUUCUGAAUGGAAGGGCCAUCGCUCAACGGAUAAAAGGUACUCCGGGGAUAACAGGCUGAUACCGCCCAAGAGUUCAUAUCGACGGCGGUGUUUGGCACCUCGAUGUCGGCUCAUCACAUCCUGGGGCUGAAGUAGGUCCCAAGGGUAUGGCUGUUCGCCAUUUAAAGUGGUACGCGAGCUGGGUUUAGAACGUCGUGAGACAGUUCGGUCCCUAUCUGCCGUGGGCGCUGGAGAACUGAGGGGGGCUGCUCCUAGUACGAGAGGACCGGAGUGGACGCAUCACUGGUGUUCGGGUUGUCAUGCCAAUGGCACUGCCCGGUAGCUAAAUGCGGAAGAGAUAAGUGCUGAAAGCAUCUAAGCACGAAACUUGCCCCGAGAUGAGUUCUCCCUGACCCUUUAAGGGUCCUGAAGGAACGUUGAAGACGACGACGUUGAUAGGCCGGGUGUGUAAGCGCAGCGAUGCGUUGAGCUAACCGGUACUAAUGAACCGUGAGGCUUAACCU
rnacentral:rRNA from 1 species